rnacentral:rRNA from 1 species
AUUGAACGCUGGCGGCAUGCUUUACACAUGCAAGUCGAACGGUAACAGGCCUUCGGGUGCUGACGAGUGGCGAACGGGUGAGUAAUGCAUCGGAACGUGCCCAAUCGUGGGGGAUAACGUAGCGAAAGUUACGCUAAUACCGCAUAAGCCCUGAGGGGGAAAGCAGGGGAUCGCAAGACCUUGCGCGAAUGGAGCGGCCGAUGUCAGAUUAGCUAGUUGGUGGGGUAAAGGCCUACCAAGGCGACGAUCUGUAGCGGGUCUGAGAGGAUGAUCCGCCACACUGGGACUGAGACACGGCCCAGACUCCUACGGGAGACAGCAGUGGGGAAUUUUGGACAAUGGGCGCAAGCCUGAUCCAGCCAUGCCGCGUGCGGGACGAAGGCCUCGGUUGUAACCGACUU